UUCCUAAAACACCUGCAAGCACUUCUGAAAAUCUAAAUCCAACCUUAAACUCCUGGAGCCUUCGUGCUCCCCAAAUUCACAACAUCUCCCAAAUCAAUCACUAAUCUAAAAAAAUAGAUAAUAUUAUAACCAACCACUCAUAGGUUCAGAGCCAUUCUAAUAGUGAAGAAAAAGAGACAGAAGCAUAAAGAUGAGUAGAAACUAUACUAUUGACUAUGCCUCGUUUCCAUGUACGUCUGACCUCAACUAUACUAACCUGCAAACUGGGCAUUUUUAAAACGAAGGGCCUAGGGGAAAACAUUUGCAAACAUUAGAGUGAGUGGACAAAAAUAAAUUAAUAAAUAAAAUAUUUAUGUUUCCCCAAAUCAAUUUCCAAGGAAAAAUCGAAUGCAUGCUGCAAGCGAUAAAACUUUCAUCUCAUAAUAUCGAGCCUCUCAGGCUCUAAAAUAUAUGUAUGUAUUUACACACGUCCAUACUCCCUAUAUAAAUUCAUGGGUCUAUAUAGGGCUACAACGCUCGCGUCCAACGCUCAAGUCACGCUUUAAUGCAGUGCUACACUACGCCAUUAAGGUGGACAGACGGGUGUAUAAAUAUGUGUCCAUACCCCCUAUAUGAAUUAAACACUCAUAUAUGGCUACUACGCUCAAGUCCAACGCUCACGUCACACCAUAAUGCGGCUAUAUGCUACGCCAUUAAGGUGGACAGACACAUAUGGCUAGCUAGCAUUUAUAUACAUACUCUCUUCAAUAUACAUAUUUAUACUCACCGAAAAAUCCCAUUUUUCGGUAACUCUCCAACAGAAAUAAAAGCGUCAAAACUCCAACAAUUUAAAUGUUCGACCAUGAACCACAACAUGCAUAUUAUUUAAAACAAAAAGUCCACUCACAGUAUUAUGCCUAAGUCUUCCAAUGCUCGGCAUACUCCUCGAGCGCUGCCUCCACUAUUCACAAUCUCGAGUCAAUCCCACGUCUGAUGAUAAACAGCAGAAUAAAUCGGUCAAACCGGAUUCCGAAAUAAUCAUUGAUUCGACUUCUUCUUAAAUUGACUAAGUAUCCUAGGUUGACCAGGAUUGACCAACAUAUAUUAAUAAUCAAUUCCGACUAAACUUCGCA
rnacentral:lncRNA from 1 species